rnacentral:rRNA from 1 species
CAGCAGCCACGGUAAUACGUAGGGUGCGAGCGUUAAUCGGAAUUACUGGGCGUAAAGCGGGCGCAGACGGUUACUUAAGCAGGAUGUGAAAUCCCCGGGCUCAACCUGGGAACUGCGUUCUGAACUGGGUGACUAGAGUGUGUCAGAGGGAGGUAGAAUUCCACGUGUAGCAGUGAAAUGCGUAGAGAUGUGGAGGAAUACCGAUGGCGAAGGCAGCCUCCUGGGAUAACACUGACGUUCAUGCCCGAAAGCGUGGGUAGCAAACAGGAUUAGAUACCCCAGUAGUCCCUGUCUCUUAUAC